rnacentral:pre_miRNA from 1 species
ACAUACUUCUUCAUAUGCCCAUAUGGAGUCGGCUGGUAUUAUGGAAUGUUAAGAAGUAUGUAU